rnacentral:misc_RNA from 1 species
UACCCUUGACAUGUCCUGGAGGCCCCUGAAAGGGGGCUGUGCCCGAAAGGGAACGGGAACACAGGUGCUGCAUGGCUGUCGUCAGCUCGUGUCGUGAGAUGUUGGGUUAAGUCCCGCAACGAGCGCAACCCUUGUCAUUAGUUGCUACAUUCAGUUGGGCACUCUAAUGAGACUGCCGGUGACAAACCGGAGGAAGGUGGGGAUGACGUGUCGUUACCUUA